CGAGCCAGAUUCAUGCUCGGGUUCCGGUCGGAGUUGAAGGAUUGUUAACAACAAGAUAGAUUCUGAAAGGAAGUGGGCAGGUGGUGGAUGGUGAUAAAGGGGUCAUUUACACCCACAAAGACAUACCUGUUGAUUCUU